UACGGGGGGGGCAAGCGUUGUUCGGAAUCAUUGGGCGUAAAGCGCGCGUAGGUAGCCACAUAAGUCCGUUGUGAAAGUCAAAGGCUCAACCUUUGAAAGCCGAUGGAUACUGUGUGGCUAGAGUACGGAAGAGGCGAGUGGAAUUCCUGGUGUAGCGGUGGAAUGCGCAGAUAUCAGGAGGAACACCAAUAGCGAAGGCAGCUCGCUGGGACGUUACUGACACUGAGGCGCGAAAGCGCGGGGAGCGAACAGG
rnacentral:rRNA from 1 species